AUUAUGGCUCAGGAUGAACGCUGGCGGCGUGCCUAACACAUGCAAGGCGAACGGAGUUAUGAUGUGAGCGGGAAGUGCUUGCACUAAACAAUCUUUUCAUAACUUAGUGGCGGACGGGUGAGUAACGCGUGGGUAACCUGCCCUGUACUGGGGGACGACAGUUGGAAACGACUGCUAAUACCGCAUAAGCGCACGGGAUCGCAUGAUCGUGUGUGAAAAACUCCGGUGGUACAGGAUGGACCCGCGUCUGAUUAGCUGGUUGGUGAGGUAACGGCCCACCAAGGCAACGAUCAGUAGCCGGCCUGAGAGGGUGAACGGCCACAUUGGGACUGAGACACGGCCCAAACUCCUACGGGAGGCAGCAGUGGGGAAUAUUGCACAAUGGGGGAAACCCUGAUGCAGCGACGCCGCGUGAGUGAAGAAGUAUUUCGGUAUGUGAAGCUCUAUCAGCAGGGAAGAAAAUGACGGUACCUGACUAAGAAGCCCCGGCUAACUACGUGCCAGCAGCCGCGGUAAUACGUAGGGGGCAAGCGUUAUCCGGAUUUACUGGGUGUAAAGGGAGCGUAGACGGCAUGGCAAGUCUGAGGUGAAAUGCGGGGGCUCAACCCCUGAACUGCUUUGGAAACUGUCAGGCUGGAGUGCAGGAGAGGUAAGUGGAAUUCCUAGUGUAGCGGUGAAAUGCGUAGAUAUUAGGAGGAACACCAGUGGCGAAGGCGGCUUACUGGACUGUAACUGACGUUGAGGC
rnacentral:rRNA from 1 species